GACGAACGCUGGCGGCGUGCUUAACACAUGCAAGUCGAACGGAAAGGCCCUGCUUUUGUGGGGUGCUCGAGUGGCGAACGGGUGAGUAACACGUGAGUAACCUGCCCUUGACUUUGGGAUAACGUCAGGAAACUGGGUCUAAUACCGGAUAUGAGCUCCUGCUGCAUGGUGGGGGUUGGAAAGUUUCGGCGGUUGGGGAUGGACUCGCGGCUUAUCAGCUUGGUGGUGGGGUAGUGGCUUACCAAGGCUUUGACGGGUAGCCGGCCUGAGAGGGUGACCGGCCACAUUGGGACUGAGAUACGGACCAGACUCCUACGGGAGGCAGCAGUGGGGAAUAUUGCACAAUGAGCGGAAGCCUGAUGCAGCAACGCCGCGUGCGGGAUGACGGCCUUCGGGUUGUAAACCGCUUUCGCCUGUGACGAAGCGUGAGUGACGGUAAUGGGUAAAGAAGCACCGGCUAACUACGUG
rnacentral:rRNA from 1 species